UACGUAGGGGCCAAGCGUUGUUCGGAAUUACUGGGCGUAAAGGGCGCGUAGGCGGCUUGACAAGUCACUUGUGAAAUCUCCGGGCUUAACUCGGAACGGCCAAGUGAAACUGUCAUGCUAGAGUGCAGAAGGGGCAAUCGGAAUUCUUGGUGUAGCGGUGAAAUGCGUAGAUAUCAGGAGGAACACCUGAGGUGAAGGCGGGUCGCUGGGCCGACACUGACGCUGAGGCGCGAAAGCCAGGGGAGCAAACGGG
rnacentral:rRNA from 1 species